rnacentral:rRNA from 1 species
GAGCAAACAGGAUUAGAUACCCUGGUAGUCCACGCCGUAAACGAUGUCGACUUGGAGGUUGUGCCCUUGAGGCGUGGCUUCCGGAGCUAACGCGUUAAGUCGACCGCCUGGGGAGUACGGCCGCAAGGUUAAAACUCAAAUGAAUUGACGGGGGCCCGCACAAGCGGUGGAGCAUGUGGUUUAAUUCGAUGCAACGCGAAGAACCUUACCUGGUCUUGACAUCCACGGAAGUUUUCAGAGAUGAGAAUGUGCCUUCGGGAACCGUGAGACAGGUGCUGCAUGGCUGUCGUCAGCUCGUGUUGUGAAAUGUUGGGUUAAGUCCCGCAACGAGCGCAACCCUUAUCCUUUGUUGCCAGCGGUCCGGCCGGGAACUCAAAGGAGACUGCCAGUGAUAAACUGGAGGAAGGUGGGGAUGACGUCAAGUCAUCAUGGCCCUUACGACCAGGGCUACACACGUGCUACAAUGGCGCAUACAAAGAGAAGCGACCUCGCGAGAGCAAGCGGACCUCAUAAAGUGCGUCGUAGUCCGGAUUGGAGUCUGCAACUCGACUCCAUGAAGUCGGAAUCGCUAGUAAUCGUGGAUCAGAAUGCCACGGUGAAUACGUUCCCGGGCCUUGUACACACCGCCCGUCACACCAUGGGAGUGGGUUGCAAAAGAAGUAGGUAGCUUAACCUUCGGGAGGGCGCUUACCACUUUGUGAUUCAUGACUGGGGUGAAGUCGUAACAAGGUAACCGUAGGGGAACCUGCGGUUGGAUCACCUCCUUACCUUAAAGAAGC